GAAUAAAUGCUGGAGUAUGUGAAAGGAUGGAUGGAUGGAGUUACUCACCUCCCGCAAUGGCGAGCAGCGCCAGCAGCAACAUCAGUAGCCAGCCCUCCUCCAACAUCAUCGUCAUCCUCAUUCUCACCAUCCCGAGCCCGAAAGGUGUUCAACGAGGAUCGCGGAGAAUCCUCCUCUUCCUCUUCCUUUCCUUGCUUUCUGCUCUUCUUCCUCACGACCCAAACCUUCCUUCAGUUGCUACCUGGUACCCUGACGUCAUGGUGUGCUCCCGCGCCGACGAUAGAGGACCACCAAAGGGAAAGGACGCGCCGAAAUCGUAUCGCUGGGAGUCCGCAGGUGAGCUCCGAGCCGCGGGUCGUGCUCCGGCGACGAGUGGUGCGAGAUGGAGGGAGGGAGGGCUGGUCUACGGAGGAGUGGCGGAAAGGGAUGAUGUGGUUCCUCCCUCCUCCUCUCAGCUCGCCUAACGACGCCUUCCCCACGCAAAGUCGCUGUUGAACUCAUUGGUUGCCAUUGACGGCGAUAGACGUCCAAUUCAUUUUUGACUGGGAACUGCCAACCUCUCCUCAGCCAAAGUUAACCGGGUGUUUUUCAUGCAUAUUUCAGCACAUACUCAGUGCAUACUGGGAGUCAAUGAAUUUAUAUGCUGCCAUGGGACAAAAAAUUAAGUACACUUGCCCGAUGUUAAAGUAGAUUAAUUAUAUAAAAAUACAGUUUUUGUCGUUGUGAUCAGUGUUGUUAAUCUUUAAAAAAAAAAAAAAAAAAAAGGUUCAGUUACAAAUAACUCCUCCCAAAAAGUAAUUGAGUUAGUAACUCAGUUACCUCAUUGUAAGAGUAUAACCAGAUAGCAGACCGGUGUUAAAAAAGAUGUGGGAUCAACAUUCCGCUGUCCAUACCUGUCAAGUUGUACGGUUUCGGCAUAAUUUGUACAAGUGAGCAGUGAUUUUUGAAUGUGUAUGCUGUACGUUCAAAAUCUAAGUUUUUCAUGCAUUGAUUUUUUUUUUCUCCGUUCGGAUUUUGUCACCGUUUCGGCAAUGAGACAAUGUGCGUUACUAUGCGUUACUACGUUGGUUGAAUGACACGGGAGUGGGAAGGAGGGAAGAGUGUUGUGACGCUGUUGCAAACGCGAUGUUAGGCGGCUCCAAUAUUUCCUGACUGUAGCCGACAGCCUACAAUCUACGCCCACUUGAUGCAACACUAGAUAUCUCAUGCAUAUAGAACUAGAUGUGAAAUGACAAACUCGGCGGCGUUAGUAAACAGCCGCCAUCUUAAAGCAGUAGACUUCUCAGAAAGGCUCGGUUGUAUUGAACCUUCAUAGCGAACCUAAGUAACUUUUUAUCUAAAAUACUCCUAAAUUGGCAAAAUCUUGUCUUGAAUCUAUCUUUAAAACAGUUUUAAAACUUUCACAUGUCGAAAGUAGACAGGAGGGAAGUACUGCAAAAAGUGGAGCAAUUUUAACAAUUUUAACUUCCAAACAUAGCAAAGGUUACUAUGUUGUUGUUGUUGUUGUCGUUUUUUUUUUUUUAAUGAAAAAAAAACCCAUGAAAGAAAACACCAGUCACUUUGCCAAGUAACUAAUUACUCUUACAUUCAGGUAACAGUGUUACUAACUCAAUUACUUUUUGGGAGAAGUAAUUUGUAACUGUAAUUGAUUUUUUUUUUUUAAGUAAGUUUAACUACACUGGUCAUAAAGAUGCAGUCUGCAGAAUGAAAAGUGACGAAAGCGGAGAUUUUAUUCUGCCAAUUUGUUGCCGAACACAAUUUGCAACUAUUGCUGAUCCCUUCUCAGAAUUAGCAAAAGAAAUGUUCCCGGAUUCAAAGAUUGCAUCGGUAAGUUAAUUUUAUCAAUUGACCUUUUUCAUUUAUAAUUGGACACACCAACGAACUACCUUCAAAACAUACUGAAUUGCGAGCUGAAGUGUCAUUAAGUGCAGCCAUCAAAAGACGUGAUAGAAACUGCCAAAAGUAACAAUAGUCACUGUUAAAUUUUAGUAAUCAUGAUGUAGCUGAAGAUAUUGAUUGUUCUUUGAUUGCACCAGGUUAUAUGUGACAAUAUUACCAAAAUAUUCAUAUUAUUUUAACAUUCAGUUUUAUUUUUGUUUCAUAUUGCACAUUAUAUAAAACGUUGUAAGAUUAGUCACCAAUUUGUAAGGGCAUACGUCACUAUUUAUAAGAUUGCCAACGGCCCCGGCUUGACAGUUAUGGCUGUCAAUCUUUUAUUAUUAAAUCAACGUCACUUUUGCACCCUCAGUUAAUGUUGUUUCAACGUUGAAAUCCCUACAAAACCUAAACGUGAUUUCGAUUAUUAAUAAUUUUGGGACAACGCUGAAUCAAUGUUAUCUUUUCGACCAAAACGCCCGCUCAUUCAUAAUUCAAUGACUUUCCAAUCACAUUUCCCGGUCAAUCAUAAAUCAACAAAUUGAUCAACCAUAAAACAAUGUUAACCCAACCAUAAUCUGACAUACCAUAGAACAACGUUGUUUCAACGUCACUUGACGUAGAAAAAUUUCGAUGUCAACAUACUGAUGAUUUUGAUGGAAAAUCAACGUUUAUUCAAUGUCGGUCUGCUAGCUGGGAAAUUAGUUACUUAGCAAACUAACUGACGUAACUUUUGAUUUUCUACACAUUUUUAGAUUACACAUUCUAUAACAUCUUUCACCCCACAGAUGUUUAUAUUUACCUAUUGAAUUGAACUGAUUUUUUCAUUCCGAAUAAAAAAAAAAAAAACGUAGGUCACACUUUUUACAUAAAAAAAAAAAAAAAAAAAGAAUUUCACCUAUACAGUGGUUCCAUGACAUACAAUCGCUUCAACACACCAUCUUUUCGACAUCAGAUGUAAAAUUGGAUUCGCCAUUUGAUUCUACAUCCAGUUUCUUUGUUUUCCCGGAUUUUCUUGUGAGAGAAAUCAACGUGGGUUCCAAAAAUGUUAGUGCAGAUGGUGAAAAAAGGAAUAAGGUGAGGCUAACCAUUGAAAUGAAGAUGGAAAUGAUAUAAAAAUAUGAGCGUGGUGUGCCGUCCGUGAACUGGCUCGACUUAUGGCCGUAGAAUGUCUACGAUCUCGACCGUCCUCGUCCAACCUCAGUUCGCCUGUCUUUAUAAGUUAAGGUGAGAAUUAUUAUUUUAACAUGGCCAAAAAAAUCGCCAUCUUCGUCAGGUUUUUAAUCAUUUAUUUCAGAACUUGUGCAACACAACAUGCCUACUGUCCGCCGCAGCUGAGCAAAGUGAAAGUAAAAUGUCCUCUCUCACUCUGUCAAGUCAGCCACGCGGUGCAUUCAGGUACAACAUGUAAAACACAAACCCCACAUUCGAACCCGAUUCGUUACACUAUUACAGGUAUUAUUAUUAUUAUUACUAUAAUUAAAUUACCAUUCAAAUUUUUAUUCAUAAUUCAUCUGUUUUGCUCUGUGCUAUUUACAAUAGUAAUAGUAAUAGUAGUAUUUGUUAAGGAUUUAGUGUAGGUUUUCGGGCUGUGGAACGAAUUAAUGGAAUUAUAAUGAAUUCUUAUGGGAAAAUCCUACUCGACAUACGACCAUUUAGACUUACAAACAAGGUCCAGGAACGAAUUAACUUCGUAUGUAGAGGUACCACUGUAUACGGCGUAACAGUAUACAAACUUUCAAAUGCUGUGAGAUGUAUUGUCACACCCUUAAUACAUAUACAGUGGUACCUCAAUGUACGAUUGUUUCGACACACGAUCUGUUCGACAUCCAACGUAAACUUUGACUCGCCAUUUGUUUCUACAUCCGACGACAUGCUCGAAAUAUGACGACAUGACAGCACCGCAGAUGGACGCAUGGCUGACUUUCUUGUGACAGAAAUCAACACAGGUUUCAAAAAGGUUGGUACGGGUGGUGAAACGAGGAAAAAGGUGAGCUUACCUUCUAAAUGAGGAUGCAAAUUAUAGAGGAAUGUGAGCGUGGGGUGUGCACCCGUGAACUGGCUCAACAAUACAUCUCUAUGGUCCUCCUCCGAUCACCGUUCGCCAGUCUUUAUAAGUUAAGUUGACAAUAAUUAUUUUGGUUACAUCGUCAAAGAAAUCGCCAGCUUUGUCAGGUUUUUAUCAUUUAUUUCAGAACUUAGCCAACACGAAACGCCUGCUGUCCGCGGCAAUUGACUGUGUACUCAGGAAAACAUUGAAAGUGAAAUAAACUGAAAUGCACUGCUCCUCUCUCUUGUCACGUCAGUCACGCGAUGCGUUCAGGUACAGAAAAAAACAUCCGCCACAUUAGAACCCGAUUCGUUACAUUAUUACAGGAAUUAUUUUUUAUUAAUAUUAUUACAUUAUUCAGAUUUUUAUUUAUAAUUAAAAUAUUUUGCUAUGUGUAAUUGCCAUUUGUAAUAGUAACAGCAGUAUUUAUUAAGGAUUUAGUGUAGGUUUUUGGGCUGUGGAACGAAUUAAUGGAAUUAUAAUGUAUUCCUAUGCGAAAAUCCUGCUCGACAUACGACCGUUUUCACUUACAAACAAGGUCCUGGAACGAAUUAACUUCGUAUGUAGAGGUACCAUUGUACUGUAGAUAUAUUUUUCAAUAUGCAGGUGAGGCUCUGAAUUUCCUGCCUCUCCUGUCUUUGCUCUACUUGUUUUGAAUAAAAAAAAAAAAAAAAAACAUCACACAACGUUCAUGGAUACGUCAUUCAGGAAAAGUUUAGGGCAAGUAACUAUUUUUGGUAAUAAAAAAACAAAACAUUUUAUUAUCAUAGUAUAGCCUCUACAAGAACAAUGCAAUCUUUAGCAUGAUAACGAACACUUAGCAGGAAAACAGUACAUUAUUUUAAAUUAAUUGUACCCACCUGGAUGCUACGAACUGUAUGUAAAAAAAAAAAAAAAAAGUUCCCCGAGAGUUUAAAAUUACACUCACUAUGCUAAAUGCUAAUGCUUACAAGAACGCUCCGAGCCACCUAGCCAAUCAUCAUCGCGUUUGCAACGGCAACACCCCUUACUCUCUUCCCCCCUCCCGCUCUGCUCCCUCUCAGGCAGCUGUGACAAAAUAAGACAACUUGCACUUCAUUCAACCAAAUUGUAGUAAUGUGCCCCUUUACAUCCUCAGUAACGGUAACGGUGUUGCAAAGAUGGGAAAAGUAAUUAAUUAGGUUACUCACUAUUGAAAAAAUAACGCUGUUGGAAACCCUUUUAUACUCUAACGCCGUUAUUCACAAAACCGGAUGUGAUUACAUUCAUUUAAGUGAUUGUUCGAAAUUGAUAGGCGUGCAUAUGAAUAUCUUGUUGUCUAUAUGCGCCAUGUGAUUGGCUGGCAAGCUGUCCAGGGUGUACCUGUCCAAAUUUCUUUACCAAAGUCUCCUGGGAGAAGCCACAACAAUCCUAAUAAAGCAAAUAAGGAGAAAAAUACAGUAGCUAUACAUUUUGAUAUGUACGUUCCUGCAUUUAAUGCACUUUGUUUGAUAAUUCAGCAAGGGGCAACAUGGCCAUUAACAUAAAUCAUUGACAAGCCAUUAUUAUGUAAAUGACAUGCUGUAAAUCUCACAGUUGUGUGUGUGUGUCCUUCCUAAUUGUCAUCUCAUAAAGAUUUAUGUUUGGGAAAUCCCUUUUUUAAGAUGUCACAUAGAAUCAAGGUAAGUGGUCGAGAGCUUUGAUUUUAGGGCACAAGAACUUCAGGACAUAACAAAAGGUAUAGUUAAACAUUUUUCGUUGUAGUGUCUCUGUAUUUAUGUUCAUCAUUUCAAUUUUGAAUUGUUGCAUGGUCAAUGAAAGCAGAAACAAGAUCUUAAAUCUAGAUUUGCACCCUCCUUACUUUGAGGGAGAUUUUUGAAUUUUUUAUGUAUUUAUGUAUUUUGUAACUUGAAAAAAGGAAGUCAACGUCAAUAAACCAUUUGACUGUCCAAAGGGAAGAUUCAAAGUGAGACAACCACACACCAAUAGCUAAUCAGAGUGAAGAGUUUAAAUUUAACCCUCAAUAUUUAAUUUAAUCCAGUCAGUCUCAUACUAAUGACAAUCUGGUUGUUUGAAGAGGGAAGAUAAAAACGAACAAACAAAAUAGCCUGAAAAAGGUUAUUUGGUCCGGGACAUUUCAAACGCAGAUUGUCCUGAUUGACUGACAUCAAAGGUUAUAAAAAUGAAUGUAAAGCCACUUUUAAACUAAAAAAAAAAAAAAACUUGCCUAAAAAUUUUUAUUUUUGGUUUUGUUGUCUCCUGCUGCUACUUGCACUUUCACUUGCCCUUUUGCUCUUAGCAGAGGUAAUAAUUAAUGUGAGGAGGUUGACUAAGGUGGCGUGCCCAUAUCCAGAGAGUCAAAAGCUGGUGCUUGGAGUCCGACUGUGAUCCAUACAGAAAAAGAGUGAAGAAGACAACAAAAGUAAAAUUCAGGAAGGAGGGUGAAAGAGAAAGGAGGUGGUUGCUGUGGUGAUGAAAAGAAAUCUGAAAAUCUGCAGGCUGGAGCGACCUGUUUCACCUUGAUUGUCACAUGACUUGCAUCACGCACAACGGUGAGCUCACACGUGCAGACGACACACACAUAGACAGUGAGGCGCGCACACACGAAUGUAAAUGGGCAUGGGCAUACUUUCGCAGUAAUGUCUUCCCCUCUCGUGCUAUCUUUAUCCACACUUCCUUCCCUCUUGCCCUCUCCUGAGCGGUGAAUGAGCUGACCUGACAGUGCUCCUCCUCUGCACUGAGUGCUGCUAUGACAAGACACAACAUUGCCAUGGAAGCAGACUAGAAAGCAUGUCUUCUGAGACAAAGUUCAAAGCAGGACGGGUUUGUGAGCGGGAGGUGCAGGCUACUGCACAACUCUCAGGAUCUUAGGCGGACUGACCACAACGCCUUUCACAGAUGGGAGGAGAGGUGAUGCUCUAUGGUGUCUGUUGUUGUGUAACAUUCGAGACCUGCUUGCGGGCUGCUGAACAACGGUGUGCCAGAAUAGCAAGUGGGAACCCGAAAGCAAAGCACGUCUGUCUCUCUCCUCCCUCCCUGAGGAGAUGCCCUACCUCACGCUCUCUAAUCGCCAUGGCAACCUGACUGGGGCUCCAUGCAAGAUCUACCUCUUAGGGUCUCAGUGAUCCUAAGAAUGGUGAGGAAUCAGCCAAAAACCACACAGGAGGAGCUGGUUACUGACCUGGAAGGAGCUCGUACCACCAUUUCCAAGGUUACUGUUGGUAAUACACUAAGACAGGGGUCCCCAAACUGUGGCCUGCGGGCCGGAUACGGCCCGCCUCCACAUUUAGUCCCGCCCCCUGAACAAUACCAGAGAGCAUUUUGAUUUGUCUUUUUUUUUUUUUUUUUUUUCCAAUAGUGUUAUUUAUUUCCUGGCUAUUUUCUGUGAAGAACCCAGUGAGGGUUAUUUGGUUAUUAUCUAUUUAAUUAAUAGUGUUAUUAUUAUUUAUUAUUAUAUUAUAUUUUUAUUUCAUUUACUUUUGUUCCGUGAAGAAUCCAGAAAGGGUUAUUUGAUUGUGGCUUUCUGAAAAACAAUAAAUUUUUACAUUUAGGCACUCCUGGAAUCGUCACACUUUUUCUGUUACAAACUGACCCCGGCCCCUCAUCAGAGAAGGGAACAGUUUGGGGACCCCUGCACUAAGACGUCACGGUUUAAAAUCAUACAUGAAACUGAAUGUUCCCCUGUUCAAACUAGUACAUGUCCUGGCCCGUUAUAAGUUCGCCAUUGACCAUUUGGAUGAUCCAGAGUCAGGAAAGAAAGUCAUGUGGUCAUAUGAGAUUAAACUUUUUGAACUUUUUGGUCUGAAUUCCACUCAUAGUGUUUGGAGGAAGAAGAAUGAUGUGUACCAUACCAAGAACACCAUCCCUUCUGUGAACCAUGGGAGAGGUAGCAUCAUGUUUUGGGGGUGUUUUUCUGCAUAUGGGACUGGACGACUGCACUGUAUUAAUACCUUACCUUUAUGCUGAAUGUAUGUUAAAAUGCUGUUUGCAAAUAGAGUAAAUGGUCAGUAACAGAUUUUAUUAUGCAUCUGCUUGUUACCUCACUAUAGUCACAAACACAGAUAAUGUAUAACAUCACUCAGGUCUCAACCAGCAUUUGAGACUUGUCGUCAUCCAUUCACACAUUUCACAGUACUAAAGUUCUCACACAUUUACAUGACUGAAAUUCUCCAACACACACUUGUGUAACACUCUCAUAGACUCUGUUGCAAUGCCUGCAUAAACACUUAAAAUAACCUUUCAACAACUAUUUAAAUGUUUUUCACUCAUUCACUGAAACACUAUAACACCACUGGAUUUUGUUCCCUCUCAGAAAGAUUGAAUUUCUCUACGAUGACAGCAUUUCAGUCAGUAGUGUGCGUAAAAGGCAAGCUGGAAUUAUAUCCCUAACAGUCCCGCAUACAUACUGUACUGUAUAUCGUGGUGUUGUGUGUAAUUGAUGACACAUACAGCUCCAUGUUUUCAUUCUUUUUGUCUCCAGUGCUUGGCUCUUCCAUGAAUUAAACAGAAUGUCACAAAUGCAACUUUUAUUUAACAGAUACAUGUUUACAACAGGAAUAUAAAGGCUUCAUCAUGAUUAGGGUCUGAAAAAGAAUUCUCAGUCACUUCAUGCACGCAUCAUUUAAGGCAGAGAUGGCCUGCAAGGACAUGUAAACUUUUCUGCCACGAAAAACAAACAUAUUAAAAAAAAAUCAUAUAACGCCCCCAAAAUGUAAUCCACAAAUGUUCAUAAAAUAAACUUGCCAUCAUAAAUUUAAGCUGGUGUUUCAAAACUGAAACAAAAGGAUGGUACAGGAGCUUUGUCAUCACCAAAAGGCCUAAUAUUCAUAUUAUAGUCCCACAUUUAGUUGCACACCUCAGCAUUCUUAGAAAAUUCUGCUGACUUGCAACAUUAUGAGCACUGUACCCUUGCUCCUCUGCCCCUCCCAGCCCACCAGCCUGAAUUAGACUCCUUCUAAAGCAUCUAAUCACUACUAAAGCUCUUUCUCUUGACAAACAGAUAAGCUGGCAAAUGAGCCUCAUUUUCAGGAUGGAUCAAUAUGCUGACUGACAGCUGCGGAUGGAUGAAUGGCUAUACUCCAAUCACUUGUAUUGAUCUUACAAAGCCAACCUAAUUGUCUGGCACUGCGCUUGAUCGUGUCAGCACCUCCAUGUUAAGGCAUCUUGGUAAAGGUUGGAUGCUGAUAUGGGACCAUUCCACAUUAGCUAGUGUAUUCACUUUUAAUUAAUUAGUUGAUUAAAAAAAAAAAACAUUUUUGUUUUUUGGUAUAAACUAGGAUUGUUCUAAUGAAAAAUGUGUGCAUUGACAAAGUUUUAGAAAUGCUAGGCACAAUGACACAGUGCAACACACUUGUUCAUUACAGGAAGGAGAGGUUAUCGUAAUUAACCAGAUAUUGAGUGUUGUAGACUCUUCCACUUGUUUAUUUGAUUACUGUGCCCUUUUCCGAAAGACUUUCUGUCAGCUGACCGCCUCAAAUAAAAUGGUACGGAUGCAACUUCUUUGAGUACACAUAUCACAUGCCUUACAAAUGCGACCUUUGCACAGCGUGCUGCAGGGUCAUAUGCUCAGCCCCGGUGAAGGGCAGUCUGUGUGAGCAGUAGUGGUGCACCAGCUCAGGGAUGCUUCCAAAGACGCAGCUACUCUGAUCCAGAGUGUAGCCCAAGCCCUUACUGCUCUUCGUCUGGGCCACGAUGAUGUGCACACAACUCUGACUGGUCCUAGAAAAUGACAAGAAAUCAGUAUUGUCAGCUCAACGUGAAAUACAGUAGUAGAAUAUAAUUCCGACCUGGAUAUGGGAAUUUAAAUCACUUGCUGUUAUAUAUCGCUGGCUAACUGAUGGUGCGCAGCAGCGAAGGUUCAUUGGAUGUGUAAAAGGGCUUAAUGAUGUGGACUCUCAAAUGAAUGAGCAGCGUACAACAAAUGUGCACCGGCUCGUAUGCACACGCACACACAGACACACACACAGGCGCACACUUAUAAAGGCUCAGCUUUCAGGUUAGGUCAGGUCUGUGUAGAUUUACUCUGCAAAAGAGACUCAGCAAUUACUCAUUUUACUCGCGCAUGAAUGUUUUCGGUACGCCGCACACUUGACUUGACAAUCCUGAAAAAAUAUACAGUUGGUAACUUAACUCCUCACACUAAGCAAUUGGUAUUUGACCAUAAACCCAGUCUACUGCAAUAGAAAAACUAUGACCCCCGGUGUUCUUAUCACUGCACACUUAUUACCUGGUCUUUCCUUUGGAAAGAUCAGGUAGUGAGAUUCUACGGCCUCCCCCUAUAUGUUAUUCUGUUUUUUUUUUUGAAUGGGAAUCCUUCGGCGCGCUGCGCAGCCUGAACCACUUGACCGAUCGGCACCAUUCAAGUAUCGACACAUCCGGAAUUUCA